rnacentral:piRNA from 1 species
UAGAAUAGGUUGCAAACAGUGUUUCCUGCAU